rnacentral:rRNA from 1 species
GUAAAUGUGGAGCCGUAGCGAAAGCGAGUCUGAAUAGGGCGUUUAGUAUUUGGUCGUAGACCCGAAACCAGGUGAUCUACCCUUGGUCAGGUUGAAGUUCAGGUAACACUGAAUGGAGGACCGAACCGACUUACGUUGAAAAGUGAGCGGAUGAACUGAGGGUAGCGGAGAAAUUCCAAUCGAACCUGGAGAUAGCUGGUUCUCUCCGAAAUAGCUUUAGGGCUAGCCUCAAGUGAUGAUUAUUGGAGGUAGAGCACUGUUUGGACGAGGGGCCCCUCUCGGGUUACCGAAUUCAGACAAACUCCGAAUGCCAAUUAAUUUAACUUGGGAGUCAGAACAUGGGUGAUAAGGUCCGUGUUCGAAAGGGAAACAGCCCAGACCACCAGCUAAGGUCCCAAAAUAUAUGUUAAGUGGAAAAGGAUGUGGCGUUGCCCAGACAACUAGGAUGUUGGCUUAGAAGCAGCCAUCAUUUAAAGAGUGCGUAAUAGCUCACUAGUCGAGUGACACUGCGCCGAAAAUGUACCGGGGCUAAACAUAUUACCGAAGCUGUGGAUUGUCCUUUGGACAAUGGUAGGAGAGCGUUCUAAGGGCGUUGAAGCAUGAUCGUAAGGACAUGUGGAGCGCUUAGAAGUGAGAAUGCCGGUGUGAGUAGCGAAAGACGGGUGAGAAUCCCGUCCACCGAUUG